UAUCUUGCUUUAUUUUAUACAGAGUGUUUGAUGAACAUUUAUGAAACUGUUGUAUAUGUACACCUGUAGGAGGUCUCAACUGGUGUCUCAAAGCUUACAAGAGAAUCAUCUGGUCAAUACAGUGACUUCAGCAUCCUCUCUUCCUUGAAUUCUCAGCUGUUUGAGAGCUCAGCAUUGAUGAACAUAUCUGCAGUUAAAUCACUUCUUUCUGCACUAUGUCAGUUGUCACAUCAAUGUGUGACAGAAACUGUAAGUGGUUUUGGACAAGUAU